rnacentral:tRNA from 1 species
UGGCUCAGAGGAUAAAGCGUCUGCCUGCAACGCAGGAGACCCGGGUUCGAUCCCUGG